rnacentral:tRNA from 1 species
UUCCUGAUGGUCCAGUGGUUAAGACUCUGCCCUUCCAAUGCAGGGGGUGUGAGUUCAAUCCUUGUUCAGGAAC